GGGGUUGUGGCUCAGUGGUAGAGCGCUUGCCUAGUAUGCGUGAGUCACUGGGUUCGAUCCUCAGCACCA
rfam:Ictidomys tridecemlineatus contig072635, whole genome shotgun sequence.